rnacentral:lncRNA from 1 species
UAACAAACUCUGAAUAAAUAGACUUUGCUUAUUCUCAUUUGGAUAGUCUUUGUCUAUUUCCACACUUCUAUGCACCCAGCAUUGUUCUGGGUGCUGGAAAUAAUAUUGAACAAGGCAGGAAAAUAUCUCUGCCCUUAUGGGGCUAAUAUACUUUUGGGAGAGACAGACAAUAAGCAAGGAGAGAAAUUAAGUAAGCAUUAUGAUAAUAAACUACUAUGAAGGAAAUAAGACAGGAUGAUGUAAUUGAUUGGGGGUGGAUACUGUUAUACUGAAUAACGAAGAAAAACUUCCUUGAGGAGGCGACAUUUCAGUUGAAAGCUAAGAGGUAAAGAAGAGCCAGUCUUGUGAAUUGCUGGGGGAAGAGACUCCAGGUUGAAGGAAAGGUCUGAGAUUCUCAAAACAUGGAACAAGGAAUAAUAGUGUUAUAUCAAGAAGCUUUAGAUGGUAAAUAGACAUGGCAUCAAACAGUGCUGAAACGUGCUAGCUGCCAUGUUGUGAGAAGAGGCUCAAAUGGUGAGGAUCUGAGGCACCUGUCCAACAUCCAUUGAGGAACUGAAGCAUCUUGCCAGGCGCCAUGACAACUUUCCUCUGUGUGGGCUUCACC